rnacentral:rRNA from 1 species
GACGAAGGGGGCUAGCGUUGUUCGGAAUUACUGGGCGUAAAGCGAGUGUAGGCGGUUGGCCAAGUCAGGUGUGAAAGCCUUGACCUCAACUCAAGAAAUGCACUUGGUACUGGGUGGCUAGAGGACCGGAGAGGAUAGUGGAAUUCCCAGUGUAGUGGUGAAAUACGUAGAGAUUGGGAAGAACACCAGUGGCGAAGGCGGCUAUCUGGACGGUUACUGACGCUAAGACUCGAAAGCGUGGGGAGCAAACAGG